UGGUUGGCUUAUUAAGAAGGUGUUAAUGUAUGAAUGGAUUUGAUAUCUCAAUUGAGUUUGUGACACAUUAUUAUUAUUAUUAUUAUUAUUGCAAAUCAUUCUAGAUAGUCUCCUACCAUCUUUGAGUGUGAAAGUGAAAUGCUUUCGCUUAUCCUUUUAGGUUUCAUAGUGGCAGCCUAAGAGACCUGGACACGAGUACAGACAUGGGACAUGGAAUUUUCAAAAAAAUUAAGAUAUGAACAUGGGGGAUACAAAUUAUUUAUUUAUUUUAUAUAUAUUUUUAUCUGCUAUGUAUAUGAAUAUUAAGUUAGGGCACAGAGAUAUGAGAAGCAUCGAUUUCCAUAUAUUUACUUUGACCCCAAAUCAGUUUUCUAAGAGACUUGUCUAGACGUAGGACGUGUGUCCGUGAAGUAUUCUCAACAUGUCUUGCAAAAAAUAAUAAUUAAUAAUUUGACAAGCCAUAUGAUGUGUUUGAUACAUAGACAUGCCACGUGUGUAAGGGUAAGGGUUCCAUAUGAGAAAUGCAUCCAACAUGUAUAGUUGGACAUGCACCAAACAAGGAUGUCUAAAUGGUUUGAGUUUACUAUAUCACUAUGCAUUAGACCUUCAUUUCAUUCAUAACAAUUUUUGGUUGCAAAUACCAUUCUAUACUAAAAAAAUUCAAAACAAACAAAUGUUUAAGAAAUAUGAAAUCUAGUGAUGUUGUGGUGUCCUUGGACAUGAGAAUUAGAUUAAUCCAACACCUAGACACAUACCUGCACCUUACACCCAUAUCCGAGUUAUCCAUUAUGCACUGAUGAUAUGCCAUAUCAUUUGUCUUUGAUUAGUAGAAUGCACCAGCAUAAGUACUUAAUACUUGCUCAAAAGUAUAUGAAAGUGAUAUAGUACUAAAUUUAGGUCAGUUUAGCAUUGCAAGGUCUGAAAAUGAUGUGGGCUUUAUUUAGACAAAGUUACAUAGGCCACCAAGAUUGGGUGAACCUUAGGUUAUUUUAUGUUUAAAGGAUCAUAGGACUGGAUUGGUGUUGAGAGUUUGAUUUUGUGAAUGGGAGUCUAAGCAAAUCUGUGGUGGUGCAUUGAAUGGAAGCCAGUAUUAUUGACUGAAAUUCAUCCUAUCCCUUUAUUAUUUUAGGUCUUUUUUUUCCCCCUUUUUAUUCCUAUUUUUCAACACACACACACACAUAUAUAUGUUUUUGUGAACUUCAAUACAUAACAGUAGAUAAAUAAACUGUGUAGGACUGGUAUUCCCACACUAGAUAAAUAAAACAAAGCAAUAUAAAUGGUAACUAUUGCCAUUAGUAUUGCUAGCACAACUAAUUGUUUGCUAAUUGGCCUUUUUUGCAGGGUAUAAUGUCUUGUCAGAUGUCGUCUUUGCUGUUUCUUGUGGUAGGGGUAUCAAUUGCCCUCACCCCAUGGUUAGCUGCUGGAGGCCAGUUACUAGCCUCUCAUUUUGAGCUGCAUGAUGUGUGGAGUUUGUUACCUGUAGACUAUGAAGCACAAGUACGGACACGGACACGGGACACG